rnacentral:lncRNA from 1 species
AAUCAUGAUUAUGGAUUCCCCAUUAAUAGAUAAAUCAGAAAAUGAAAAAAUAGAGAAUUGCAUGAAUGCGCUUUCUUCAAAUACAAUCGAUUUAGAGGAAAGUACGAACAAAUUAAAAGAGUGUGAAAAUAAAAUAGAAAAAAGUGAUGCUCCUGUAAAUAAAAACAUUAUUUAUCACACAUUAACUAUUAAUAAUAAAGAAAUUGCGAUUUAUCAGUAUAAAACAUUUCCGAAAAAAUUUUUAAAUAGUGUCUAUGAAUUAUUAAGUAGUGAACUAUCAGAGCCAUAUAACAUUUUUUUACUUAAAACUAUUUUGAAUCAAUACCCUGAAAUAACGUUAAUGUCUUUGUAUAAUGAACAAUGUGUUGGAACAGUAAUAUGCAAAAUCACAACAAAACGUAAAAAUGAUGAACUGAUAACUUUUGGAUAUAUAUGUAUGAUAGCUGUUCAUAAGAUUGUUAGAAAUGGUGGUUUAGGUAAAAUCUUUUUUUUUUUUUUUUUUUUUUUUUUUUUAAUAGACGCAUUUUAA